rnacentral:ribozyme from 13 species
ACAAAUCAAAGAAGGAGAAACACAAGAACAAAUCUUUCAAGAAAAAGUGGCAAUGAACAUGAGUGAUAUUCGAAUGUAUUUUGAGGAAUGUCGUCGUCCUCUUGCUUGGUUUCUUUGUUUUUAUUCUUUU